rnacentral:lncRNA from 1 species
AUGCCACCAUCUCAGUCGAUUCCUGGGAAGCUGGGUUGGACCCUUCCCUCUAUUGGGCUCUGGCUGCAUUCCAGCCUUGCAAGCACAAACUGGCCUUCUGCUGGAUUGGGUCACAUAAAACAAGGCCAGCCUGGAGAAUUCAUUGUGGGCCAGGCUUUGAGAUGCUGCUGCAGAGCUGGGGCCUGGGAGCCUAGGCCAUUUUCACAGUCUUCAGAUAUUCUCAUGUCUCUCAUCCUAGUCACCUUCCCAUGUGUAUCCCAUCCCUUCCUCAGGCUCUCUCCUUUCCUCUACCACCAAAUAAUCUUGAAGGUGUGGUCUCCAAGGCCAACUCCAUUUUCACCCCAUUCCCUCCGCCAUUCUGGGUCUGCCCCCCACCGAGACUUCCUGUCCCACCUUCUCAUGUCCCUACCCUUCCCCACUGGGACCCCUUCCUCCUUCCCCCAGGGCCCUCUCAGCCUCUGUGGUACUCGCCUGAUUCUUCCCUCCCUGACCACACCUUCAUCUUCCCAGGAAACACCAGUUCCCAGGACCUUCCCAGGUUUACAGAUGGGAAGACCAAAGCUCAGAGAAUGUAAGCUGCCGGCAGACACACCACUGCUCUGCAGUGCUUGGAAAGCCAGCCUUCCUGUUAAUGCUACCUUCAGCUUCCUCAAAAACACGACGAAACCUACAGCCCAACUGUCAACCGUGCGCGGUGCGAGCCAAGAAUGAAUAUUCCCAAAGCGCCAACAGAAGGAAGUGCUUCAUAAAAACGGAGCCCGAGGGCGUGAAGGGAAAACAAGCCCUGUUCACACGCAGGCAGCAGCAUCCGCUCGGCACGGCCCCCAGGAGGCGGAAACGCGCACGGCGGUACGGCUGCAGGCGCGGGGAGCCCCCAGUGCAGAUGUGGAGCGCCCGGGAGCUGGAGGCUCUUUUCCUGCCCAGCUCGUGCCCCCUCGGCAGCCGCCAGGGCUCCCCAAGGUCUUUCGGGGAUCCAGGAGACAGGCCACUGCCUCCCGUGCUCCAAGGUGGAGUCCCACGGGGCAAACGCCCCAGAGCAGACGGCCUGCCUGAGGCUUUCCCCUUGCUGGGGGGAAGGAGGCGCUUUCGGCUCCGGGAGUCCCGGCUUGGGCCUUCCUAAUCCACUCCCCCUGUGUCUCCGUGUGGUGUGACCUUGGGCAAGUCAUUCCCCAUCCGCCUCGCAGCUUCUCUGCUUCCUUUUCUGAAAAACUUGAGUUACACUCUUGGGUGGUUAGAAGGAUGGAAGGAGUCACAUGGAUAUCACUGGCUAUAGUAUCUCUCAAUGAAUGAUGGAGAUUCCAGGGGUGGGGAAGCAAAAAAUAUGUUUUAAAAGGAAUUUCUUUUCCUUCCUUUUCCACCCUGUUUCUGUUCCUUCUUCCAGGUGCUGCCACAGUGGCUGAGAGAAGACUCUCGAAAGAGUUGAUCAUAGGCCACCCUCGGUCCAGACUCCUCCAGGGUGUCUUUACCCUCAAAGCGGUCAGGUUUCUGAUAUGACGAAGCCCCUUGGACAGGCCUGUCAACUUCCCAGCCACUUACCAGGGCCCCAGCCAGGUCCGGAUCUACAGCUUCCAGAACCAGCCAUGUUGCUGGGCCCAUUCCCGGCCCUUCUUUGUGUCUCUGCAGAGGCUUUGUAGAGGGAGGUAGGAAUGUGGGCCUGGGGGCCAGGGACCUGGAGUUGAUGUGAGCUUGAUGGUCUGAAUAGCACCUGGCC